rnacentral:lncRNA from 12 species
UCAAUUCUACGUUUAAACUUUGAUCCAUGUCCCAGACUCCUAAACACUAUCUUUUUUUUUUUUUUAAGAUUUUUUUUAUUUAUUCAUGAGAGACCCAGAGAGAGAGGCAGAGACCCAAGCAGAGGGAGAAGCAGGCUCCAUGCAGGGAGCCCGACGUGGGACCCGAUCCCAGGACCCCGGGGUCACGCCCUGGGCUGAAGGCAGGCGCUAAACCCCUGAGCUGCCCAGGGGUCCCCCUAAACAUCAUCUUUUUGCAGAGAAAGGACCAAGAUUUUCAGUCAGAUCAUGCGUUUUGCUGGACUUUCUUGACUCCAGGACAUGAUUUAUGGACAGCCACGUGGCACCAAGGGCCGCAGCAGGUGUAUCAUCACUGACGUCCUCCGGCUGCCUGCGUGUCCCCACGGGUCGGCCCAGCUUUGACCCCCCUCCG